GCCAGCAGCUAUAUCACCCUGCACCUCACCACUGGCAAUUCCACUGAAGCUAAGCAGGUGUGAGGCUAGUCAGUACCUGGAUGGGAGACCUCCUGGGAAAAACUAAGGUUGCUGCUGGAA
rnacentral:rRNA from 1 species